GACGUAGGGGCCAGCGUUGUUCGGAAUUACUGGGUGUAAAGGGUUCGUAGGCGGUGCGGCAAGUCGGGAGUGAAAUCUCUGGGCUUAACCCAGAGGCUGCUUCCGAAACUGCUGUGCUUGAGUGUGGGAGAGGCGCGUGGAAUUGCAGGUGUAGCGGUGAAAUGCGUAGAUAUCUGCAGGAACACCCGUGGCGAAAGCGGCGCGCUGGACCACUACUGACGCUGAGGAACGAAAGCUAGGGGAGCAAACAGG
rnacentral:rRNA from 1 species